ACGAAGUCGGGAAACAGAUUUAAACCAAGGUUUGAUUGUUACCUCAGUUUGUCAGUACUACCAGAAAAGUUAAUUCCCAAAUAAAAGUUGAUUGCCGAAAAGCCUGGAUGCAAAAACAAGCAUUGGAGCUGCUUUUUGUUGAACACGAGUGAGGCUGGACGUUUAGUACUACUGUGGUCUACUUGUUCAGCUGCUGUAGCUUGGACAGAGACACCAACAUCACCUCACAGACCAACAGAUGUGUUGAUGAGCUGGAUUAUUAAUGGUCCAUGAUCUGAGAAAUAUUGUUGAGGAUGAGGGAGACACUGUCCAUGAUUGCAGAGACAUGCACAAGAGUUGGUAGUAACGGAGUUCCCCGAUUCGAUGGCAUCGCCCACAUUCAGAGAGACAUUGUCCACGACAACAGAGACGUAGUCCAUGAUCAGAGAGACAUCAUCCAUGAUCGAAGAAGUUCUCUAGGCCUCGAGAGACAUAGUCCAUGAUCAGAGAGACAUCAUCCACGAUCAAAGAAGUUCUCCAGGCCUCCAGGAGGAGAAGACAACAGCAGCUGAAGACCUGAAGUGGAUGAAAGAAAACAGUGUUGCGAAGCUGUUAAUUAGCUGUAAAUAGUGCUGGUUUCCUGUUGUUCAAGUGAAAACACUUUGUUUUUCUUGACCAUCUGUAAUGUACUCAUGGGCACAUUCUCCAAAGACUUUAUAUAACACAUUUGAGAAUAGUCAACAGCUUAUGAUACAACUAUCUGAUUAUUGUAUCACAGGUAGUUUAAUGAUCAAACGCUUAAUAGACAUGUUCAUCUUUGGAAAAUUUGCUCAUAACUACAUUAACCCUAAGUGUUUCCUUGUGGUCAUAUGUUUUAAUGUCAUUAAGACAGAUUUUAAAUGUUUUAUCCUUAUUUUUUAGACUUAUUUAAGGUUUUAAAUGUAUUUUUUAAAGGCUUUAUAUUUAUUUUUACUCAUGUUUUUAAAGUUUUUAUACUUAAAAUGUGCUCAUACCUACAUUAACCCUAACCAGCGUUUUCUUGUGGUCAAAUGUCUGCCAUUGUCUUUGCUGUGAUUUGUUUAAUGUUGUCUGGAAUAAAAUCAUUAAAAGUGA